AAAGGAAUAGACGGGGACCCGCACAAGCAGCGGAGCAUGUGGUUUAAUUCGAAGCAACGCGAAGAACCUUACCAAGACUUGACAUAUAUAUGCAUAGUAUGGAAACAUAUGAAAGGUAUAGUUUACUAUACCCAUAUAAACAGAUGGUGCAUGGUUGUCGUCAGCUCGUGUCGUGAGAUGUUGGGUUAAGUCCCGCAACGAGCGCAACCCCUGUAUUUAGUUGCCAUCAAUUCGGUUGGGCACUCUAGAUAGACUGCCGUAGAUAAUACGGAGGAAGGUGGGGAUGACGUCAAAUCAUCAUGCCUCUUACGUCUUGGGCUACACACGUGCUACAAUGGACGGUACAAAGAGCAGCAAUAUAGUAAUAUGGAGCCAAACUCAAAAAGCCGUUCUCAAUUCGGACUGUGGGCUGCAACCCGCCCACACGAAGACGGAGUUGCUAGUAAUCCCGGAUCAGCACGCCGGGGUGAAUGCGUUCUCGGGUCUUGUACACACCGCCCGU
rnacentral:rRNA from 1 species